CAAUAGCGUAUAUUAAAGUUGUUGCAGUUAAAAAGCUCGUAGUUGGACCUUGGACCUGGACAGGCGGUCCGCCUCACGGCGUGUACUGUCUUGCUGGGUCUUUCCUCUUGGUGAUCUGUUGUUUCGGCAGCAGGGAACCAGGACUUUUACUUCGAAAAAAUUAGAGUGUUCAAAGCAGGCUCGACGCCGGAAUAUAUUAGCAUGGAAUAAUAAAAUAGGACGUGCGGUUCUAUUUUGUUGGUUUUUGGAAUCGCCGUAAUGAUUAAUAGGGACAGUCGGGGGCAUUAGUACUCACAUGCUAGAGGUGAAAUUCUUGGAUUUUGUGAAGACUAACUUCUGCGAAAGCAUUUGCCAAGGAUGUUUUCAUUAA
rnacentral:rRNA from 1 species